UGGGGAAUCUUGGACAAUGGGGGCAACCCUGAUCCAGCCAUGCCGCGUGAGUGAUGAAGGCCUUAGGGUCGUAAACUCCUGUCAGUAGGGAAGAAUGUCUCUCGUUCAAUAGGCGAGAGGCUUGACGGUACCUGCAGAGGAAGCCCCGGCUAACUCCGUGCCAGCAGCCGCGGUAAUACGGAGGGGGUUAGCGUUGUUCGGAAUUACUGGGCGUAAAGCGCACGUAGGCGGACCAGAAAGUUGGGGUGAAAUCCCGGGGCUCAACCCGGAACUGCCUCCAAAACUAUUGGUCUAGAGUUCGAGAGAGGUGAGUGGAAUUCCAAGUGUAGAGGUGAAAUUCGUAGAUAUUUGGAGGAACACCAGUGGCGAAGGCGGCUCACUGGCUCGAUACUGACGCUGAGGUGCGAAAGUGU
rnacentral:rRNA from 1 species